rnacentral:rRNA from 1 species
UACGUAGGGGGCAAGCGUUGUCCGGAAUCAUUGGGCGUAAAGCGCGUGUAGGCGGCUCGAUAAGUCUGCUGUGAAAGUCCAGGGCUCAACCCUGGGAUGCCGGUGGAUACUGUCGGGCUCGAGUCCGGAAGAGGCGAGUGGAAUUCCUGGUGUAGCGGUGAAAUGCGCAGAUAUCAGGAGGAACACCAACAGCGAAGGCAGAUCUCUGGGACGUUACUGACGCUGAGACGCGAAAGCGUGGGGAGCAAACAGG